GUCCCUAUAGCUCAGUUGGAUAGAGCGACCGCCUCCUAAGCGGCAGUUCGUUCGAAUCCGGCUGGAGCC
rnacentral:tRNA from 1 species